CUCUUGAAUGUUCUGAGAGAAAAAGGAUUGGUCUGUGCCCGAUAGAUAAAAACGUUGGACGACAGCCUGCUGGACACUUUCACUUGCAGACAACAUGAGAGCAGUUCUAUUCCUCGUCUUUGCUUCAGUGCUGCUUCUGGCGGCUGUUGAUGCCCAAAGUUGUGGGCGAUUCGACCGUUGUGUGCAGGACCGGAUCUGUGACAUCGAGUGCCCCGGAUGUAAGGGAACGACAGAUUGUCAUCACUCCGGGUCUUUAAUCGGACACUGCGUUUGUAAAAACUGAACUCCAACACAGUGGAAGCCAUUGACCAAGAAAGUUUGCUUUGGGAAUAAAAGAAACUUCCACAAGUAA
rnacentral:lncRNA from 1 species